CCCCCGUUCCCAGUCAUAGCAGCAAUCCAAGAGUCCUGGAAGGGAAACUUGCCUUCUCAGGGAUCACCACCGAGGGCAUGGAUUUUUCUUUUGGCACCUUUAAUUUUCCCUCCCAAUCACGUGCAGCGAGAGAGCACUGGGCAUGAAGCCAGUGUACCUCCCCAGAAGUACAGAAAAGAACAUCGCUGGUGGCAGUGGAAGCCUGGUUUGGGACAGCCUGCCUUGGCCAUUUGCUCCCACAGGCAGAAGGCAGAAACUGAGGCCAGCUGGCAAAGGCAUGUUUGGGGAAUGAAGAACCCCUGGAGGGCCAGGGAGGCAUCAAGUCCACCAAAAGACAAAAAGCAAGCAAACUAGGUUCCGUGGAUCAGCUGGAUCAUUGAAGACUCUCUGGAAGAGGUGAUUCCUGACCUGGAGGUGGUGCUUGGCCUGAAGAGGUCCUCUUAUUGGUGGAGUUGGCCAUCCAUAACUUCUCUCCUCAGCCUGUCCCCGAAACCAACCCAGAGGCGAGCAGCCAGGUCCAAAGUCACACACCUGAGAGCAGAGCAGCUCAAGUUCCAGGCCAGCCUCCCACUCCUCAGAGAGCGGCCUUCACCUUAACUGCACGGCCUUCCUUGAGGCAGAACGUGUGUUCCAAAUGUGUUCACACCCAUGAUGUCACCAGUCCUCCGGCAGCCAUCGGAGGAGGGGCUAGGCGGAUGCACAGGAGGAGGUGACGUUUGGGAGACCUGGUGCCAUUCCUAGAUUUGCUCAGCCCACAGCAUCACGUUGGUAAAAUUAACCCUAUCAAGGAUGUGACCAUUAGACAGACGCUUUCAGGUAUGCUGGGGCUGGGGCCCGAUCAACCUCGUCUGACGCUGAUUCCUGCAAGCACACACUCAUGCACCAUUAUUUAUCGAGUACCCAAUCCUGCCAGCUUCUCCUGGCCCUUGCUCAGGCUUGCCCUCUGACUACCCAUAACUUUGCUCAUCUGUCAGCGCUCUGCUCUCUUAGCAGCUCCCCUCGAAACUCCGCUGGGCCUCUCUCUGUCCCUCCGUAUUCCAUGUGCUGCUCACAGCUACACUGGCCGUGUCCAUUCUUGCUUACAAGCGUCAGUCCUCAUGUGUGCCUUUCCCUCUGGCCCGGAGCUCACCAAGGGCAGACGCUGUCUGUGUCUCUUGUGAGGUGAACUGUGUCCCCCUGCCCGAAUUCAUCAGGUGAACUGUUCACCCCCAGCCCCUCAGAAGGUGAAUGUAUUGGGGGGCAGGGUCUUUAAAGAGGAGAGUGAGGUAAAAUGAAGUAACUAGGAUAGACCCUAAUCCGAGAUUACAGGUGUCUUUAUAAGAAGAGCUUGGGACACAAACACAUAUAGAAGAAAGUCCCUGUAAGGACGUGGGGAGAACAUGGCCGUCAAUACGCAAGGACAGGGGCCUCGAAGGAAUCAACCCUGCCAACAUCCUUGACCUCAGACUCCAGCCUCCAGGGCCGUGAGAAAGUGUAUCGCUCUUGUUUAAGCCCCCAGCCUGUGGUGAGGUCCUGGAGGCCCGAGUGGGCUAAUCCAGUGUCCUGAGCCUCUUUGGAUUCCCAGUUUUCUUCCCACCUCACUCAGGGAAGGGGCCAAGUAGAUAUUUUCUGGAACUGAACUCAGACUGUCUGUCCUCUGCAUGAUGUCCUGAAGCUAGAAAGUCUGCUUGGACAAGAUGAAAAUUCUCUGCCAGGAAAGGCCAGGAAAGGGAAAGAAGGAGGAGUUUUUUCAUGGACUGUCGUUUGAAUAGAAUGACUGAGAUGAUUGUACCACUUCCUACAUGGCACCAAAUGCCUAGACAGGAAAGCCUUGACCCCACCUCACAUGAGUGCAUACUUGGAGGGAAUAGCCGUUUAUCUAACGUGACUCUGCCAUGUCCCUGGAGGACCUGUGGGGGUAGCUGGGCCCUCCCUAGGCCUCUGUUUCACACCUGGAGGUGGGGACAGUCACUCUCCACCUGUCAGUGCCACACUUCCCUGGCAGUUUGAUAAAUACACCUGUGUGGCUCUUUGUCUGGCUAAAUAAGGUUUAUUAAAAAUCUGGACGUA